GUCCACGCUGUAAACGAUGGAUGCUGGGUGUGGGGUUCAAUACGGAACUCCGUGCCGAAGCUAACGCAUUAAGCAUCCCGCCUGGGGAGUACGGUCGCAAGACUAAAACUCAAAGGAAUUGACGGGGGCCUGCACAAGCGGUGGAGUAUGUGGUUUAAUUCGACGCAACGCGCAGAACCUUACCUGGGUUUGACAUGCCGCGACAGCCCUAGAAAUAGGGUUUCCCCUUCGGGGGCGCGGACACAGGUGCUGCAUGGCUGUCGU
rnacentral:rRNA from 1 species